rnacentral:rRNA from 1 species
CGUUUGACGCUCUAGAGAUAGAGUCUUCCCCUUCGGGGAGACAAAGUGACAGGUGGUGCAUGGUUGUCGUCAGCUCGUGUCGUGAGAUGUUGGGUUAAGUCCCGCAACGAGCGCAACCCUUAAGCUUAGUUGCCAGCAUUAAGUUGGGCACUCUAAGUUGACUGCCGGUGACAAACCGGAGGAAGGUGGGGAUGACGUCAAAUCAUCAUGCCCCUUAUGAUUUGGGCUACACACGUGCUACAAUGGACAGUACAAAGGGCAGCGAAACCGCGAGGUCAAGCAAAUCCCAUAAAGUUGUUCUCAGUUCGGAUUGUAGUCUGCAACUCGACUACAUGAAGCUGGAAUCGCUAGUAAUCGUAGAUCAGCAUGCUACGGUGAAUACGUUCCCGGGUCUUGUACACACCGAGACGGCG